AGACAUGGCCACUAAAAGAAAGCAGGAGGGUCCAGUUUUCUUUUCUGUAAACACCAUGUAUUUUUCUUUCCUCUUUAAAGAAAAGAAGCUCUUUAUAACAGUGUGCCUUUCCCCAACACUGCAGUUGUGGGCAGCAGACAUCUUAUGAAUGGGGCUACUUUCAGAAACAGCUGUGCCAUUUUUCUGAGUGACCUGACCAGCUGGCCAGGAUUCCUGCUCUCUGACGAGACCACAGAGAGGAGAGAGAGUCGUUAUUUUUGAAGAUCUGUGUGAAGAAGCAGCAAAGGUGACAUACUGAAAAGGUCUGUGUCCUGGCUCUAGAAAAAACAAAGUUGGCCACUUUUCUUUAUGCAGCGAAGAUAUCAUAGCUCUAGAUGAAAGGCUUUUCUUCAAGAUGUUCCCCCCACCACUGCUGUUUCGAAGUAGGUUCAAUGACUGAGAUUCCAUUGCUCCAUAGACCAAAAACUAAAACGAGCGCUGCCACACAGCUAAGCGAUGUGUGCAUAGAGAUUCUCUGUAUUUCCAUCAGUUGGGAAACUUCCUUAGUGCUGGGCUCCUAUCAAAAUAUGCUGGGCUAAAUCUGCUUUCACAAAAUAGCCAGGAAAGGUGUUUUGAUCACUUCCUGAGCAAGGAUUAGUACAGGAUAAUUCACUUUUCAUGGCCGGAGUGUGGUUCUCAAUUUCAAAGACACUGAAGCUAAUUUAAUUUCCCAUAUUGAAAGAAAAUUGCCUUGGAUAAAAAGUUUUGUUUUUGUUUUUAUUUAAAUCAGGUUAUCUUUAAAUAGACUCAUGACAGUCCCCAAGCACCUCUUUCCAAAUCUGAUUUGUGAACAACACAAAAGUAAUGCUGUGUUUAUAAAAAUUGUUUUGGAGCUGAAUUUACAGAGAAAAUCUUGUUGAAGGUGCAGACACGGAAAGACAGUGUUUGGAGGUACCUCCCACUGCCAUGCCAGGUGUCCAGAGGUGUCAAGCUGCCAGUGUUGAUUCAAAUGAAAAUGAUAAUGUUGAAGAAGGAGGCUGCAAAAGUUCCUAAGCAACCUGACGGGAUAUACCUUGUAAAAUGCUUUCAAAAAAGCUUCAAAGGGCAGCUAAUAAAUGAAUAUACUGACAGGGUUUAAUCGCUUCUCCUCUCUCCUAGUAACAGGAAUUAAAGGCCACAGGUGGUUCUGGGUUGGAGGCAGGACCCAAAAGUAAAUGCAGCAUUCAGAGCUGCACAGGCCCAGUCAGAGCAGCUGCCACUUCAGGCACUUACAGUGGUCACCCAGGAUUCAGGAGAUGCAUAUUAUAAGUAACUCAGUUCUGUAAGAGCUAGGAGUUAGUUCACACUGCUUGGGCUCUCACUAAGUAAGCCUGUGCAAUGCAGGCAGGAAGGGAGAAAAUGCUUACAAAAAAGAAAUGAGUAGAUUCUUGCCUUAGGAAAGUCAACGGGAUACAAUUCCUGAUGGAAGAGCAGUUGCUAUUCUAAGAGCUAAUUAACAAGAAACAAUGCUGCAAAAAACUUGGGAGACAGGACGGCAGAACACACCCAGAUGGCCUGUGGGAAAUUCCCAGGCCUGCCAAUGAUGUGAGAGAGGACAUCUUGUGAAUGGGUGGGUACAGCCUGUUCUUCUGGGCAAGACAAACAGUGCAGGACUCUAUAUGCCAGGGUGGCUGAAGCCCCAGUGUCCAAGAGGCUUGCCCAUUCCUCCCUGCCCCUGGCACUGAACCCAAGCUUCCAUGGGGCACUGUGGAAGAGGCCUUGCCUGACGACAAGUAGACCAAACACGACCGUCCGUCCUCUAAAAACUGCACCCUUGGAAUUGGGGACAGGCAGAAUAACCCUUUCACUAGCUUGAUACUUAGCCUCUUGGGGUUCUGAUAAAUCCUUUUGAAUAACCAAGCAGUUUUGUUUUUAAUACCUUGGCCUGAGCCCUUUAGAUGCAGCCAUCCUCAACUUACAAAAAAAACAAACCAAAAGAAAAAACAAAACACACACACACACAAACAAACUUUGAUUCAAUUGACAAAGGUUUUCAAGGUGUCUACUACAUGUAAGGCAGCACACUAGGGGUUUCUUGGGGAUACGCAGAUGACAAAGACAGUGUCUCUUCAUCCAGGAGCUAAUCAAGAGAAGGGGGAAGAAUCAAGCAAACUUCAUAAUACACAGCCGGAUGAAAUGAAAAGAGACUUAGAUCAAGUGCUGUGAGAGCUUGGAAGAGGCACGGGGCAAAUAACACUGGGGCUGGUGGUGGGAAGGCAAGUGACAGCCUCGUGGAAGAGGUGGCAUUUGACCAGAGAUGAGGACGAACAGAAUUAACAUAGUAGGCAUGAAGGAAGAAAAUGCGCCUGAGGACACAGCCAGCACAAAUGCAGAGGCAUACAAGUGCCUGGUACAGCUGGCAUGCAGGGAUGGCUGAGGAACUGCGGGGGCAGCCGGUGGGAUCCAUCCGAGGCAAACAGGAUUCCUGCAGACAAUGCUCGGAUGAUGAAAUCUGAGAGGCUGGAUGACAGAGAAACCCACAUGCAUACACACACACUUUAUAAAGCUUAGGAACAAAAGCACUUUAUAAUCUCCUUCUGAUGCCAAGUUUACAGUGCUUCCAGAGUCAACAAAGGUGACUCAGGAGAGUGCACCCAGCUCCUUUCAGCACUUAUUUAGCUCAGCCACCUGUGUGAGCUCAAAGACAAGGGUGCCGACUUCACCUGAGUAGACCCUGAGUCACGUGAUUUCUUGCUGGAGAUGAUUCAGCAAAGGAGCACUAACCUCUGAGACAAGGCUUCAGCUUCCUGAGCUCUGCUGACUCGCCUGGGACUUCCCUAAGCCCUUCUGGACCUAGAUGAGGGCAAAACU
rnacentral:lncRNA from 1 species